GUGUCUGAGAUGUGGAGUACAGUGUUCACUCCGGCCUGGAGAUCAACCACAGGAGAGAAGUGAACUGUGUGGCAUCCUUAUGCUCUACUUAGAGGGAACACGGCCUGUAAGGAGGCAGACAAAGAGCUACAAACUCUGGAACACAGAAGUCUGCUCCUAUAAAAGGAAGAUCAACGUAAGUUUUGCUGGUCUGCUAAGACAGCAACUAUAUCUCCAUGCAUACC